CACGGGGGGAGCAAGCGUUGUUCGGAAUCACUGGGCGUAAAGGGCGUGUAGGCGGUCAGGUAAGUGGGAUGUGAAAUCCCUCGGCUCACCCGAGGACCUGCAUCCCAAACUGCUUGGCUUGAGUAUGGGAGAGGAUGAGGGAAUUCCUGGUGUAGCGGUGAAAUGCGUAGAUAUCAGGAGGAACACCGGUGGCGAAAGCGCUCAUCUGGCCCAAUACUGACGCUGAGGCGCGAAAGCUAGGGGAGCAAACGGG
rnacentral:rRNA from 1 species